rnacentral:tRNA from 1 species
GCGGGUAUAGUUUAGUGGURAAA